CAGUAGCCGCGGUAAUACCGAGGGUGCGAGCGUUAAUCGGAUUUACUGGGCGUAAAGCGUGCGUAGGCGGCUAAUUGAGUCGGAUGUGAAAUCCCCGAGCUUAACUUGGGAAUUGCAUUCGAUACUGGGAAGCUAGAGUAUGGGAGAGGAUGGUAGAAUUCCAGGUGUAGCGGUGAAAUGCGUAGAGAUCUGGAGGAAUACCGAUGGCGAAGGCAGCCAUCUGGCCUAAUACUGACGCUGAGGUACGAAAGCAUGGGGAGCAAACAGGAUUAGAUACCCCCGUAGUCCCUGUCUCUUAUAC
rnacentral:rRNA from 1 species